GACCUGGUGGUGUAAUGGUUACAUGUCUGUGGAUGGUGAUCUGGAUGAACAAGUUGAUAACUUUACAUGGAAGUUCCCUGUUCAAUUCGGGGCUGGGUCA